rnacentral:rRNA from 1 species
UGCCAGCCGCCGCGGUAAUACGGAGGGGGUUAGCGUUGUUCGGAAUUACUGGGCGUAAAGCGCACGUAGGCGGACUGGAAAGUAUGGGGUGAAAUCCCAGGGCUCAACCCUGGAACUGCCUCAUAAACUAUCAGUCUAGAGUUCGAGAGAGGUGAGUGGAAUUCCAAGUGUAGAGGUGAAAUUCGUAGAUAUUUGGAGGAACACCAGUGGCGAAGGCGACUGACUGGACUGGUACUGACGCUGAGGUGCGAAAGUGUGGGGAGCAAACAGGAUUAGAUA